rnacentral:rRNA from 1 species
AUUGAACGCUGGCGGCAUGCCUUACACAUGCAAGUCGAACGGUAACGGGCCUUCGGGUGCCGACGAGUGGCGAACGGGUGAGCAAUACAUCGGAACGUGCCCGAUCGUGGGGGAUAACGAGGCGAAAGCUUUGCUAAUACCGCAUACGAUCUACGGAUGAAAGCCGGGGACCGCAAGGCCUUGCUCGGACGGAGCGGCCGAUGGCAGAUUAGGUAGUUGGUGGGAUAAAAGCUUACCAAGCCGACGAUCUGGAGCUGGACUGAGAGGAUGAUCAGCCACACUGGGACUGAGACACGGCCCAGACUCCUACGGGAGGCAGCAGUGGGGAAUGUUGGACAAUGGGCGCAAGCCUGAUCCAGCCAUGCCGCGUGCAGGAUGACGGCCUUCGGGUUGUAAACUGCUUUUGUACGGAACGAAAAGCCUUCUUUUAAUACAGGAGGGUCAUGACGGUACCGUAAGAAUAAGCACCGGCUAACUACGUG